rnacentral:lncRNA from 10 species
AGUUACUAAGCGGGACAAAGGCAGAAGGGGAAAAGAAAAGAGGAGGAAAAAAAAGAAAGAAAGAAAGGAAGAAAACGCAAACGGCGGUUACUGACAGGCUGGGCGAGCGCUCGGGGGCUCAAACUGCCUGGAGACAGGCGGGGCUCCUGCUGAGGCUUGGUCCGCCCGGACGAGUAAGGAGAGGAGCCAGGGAGGACCUGCUGGCGUGAGACGCCUCUGCCCGGU